UUAAAACUUAGAGUGAUAUAUUUCUAUCUGUGAUAUCUUUCCACUUGAAAAAUCUCAAAACACAAGAUUAAAAACCUAAUAGGCUAUAAUACUUUUUAUUUUGGGAGCCAGAAUAUGAUUCGGGGGAAAGAAAUGUGUAAGUCCUUCUGCAGUGUAACUUUAUCUUUUCUCUUAAGUCCACCUUCAAUUCUUCCUUUAUAUGGUAUAGGAUUUUGCGUCUUCUAUUUCUAGGCAUGUUCUUAUCUUCCAUUAUCUUUAAUAUUGAUAACUCUCCCAGACACCAAAGAACAUAUUUGCUUAAUUAAGUGUCUGAACAGAAACAAGAUGAAAACACUGGUAUUUUUAUGUGUGUAUUCAAUAUCGUAUAAAAUAUAAAACCUAUAUUUUAACUUAGUAAAAUAUUUUACUACUUCUGUACUUUAGACAGAGUGUUGCCUCCAAGGUACAAUGAAUGAGCAUUUUUCUUGAGUCUUGAUCCAUCUUUUAUUCCUUAAAAAGCAACUUGGACCCUUUACUCCCCUAAAGAGUUUUUACCACUAGAAUUGUUGCUGAUCAUUCAUCUUAUGCCAUUCCGGUCCUCCCCCUCCCCCGACAUUUAGCUCCUUUCUGGGUUAAGCUGACAUUACCUAGCCUCAUUUUGAAACUUAAUGCUGUCAUAAAAAUGAGAAGCACUUAUUAUUUAUUUUUUAAGUAACCACAAAAGUCCAUGUCAGUAAUGAAUAGGAAAAGUAUUUAUUCAUAUGAAAUUUACUAGGUUCUUCAGGAAAAAAGCGGUCAGCAUUUUAAAUUAUUAGGAUUUAGGAUAUGUAUAAGAUUUGAACAGAUUGUGCCCCGCCCCCCACUUCUUACCUUCUCUGCAUCCUUUCUUCUUGAAAAUUCAAAUUUGUUCACAUUAGAAUUUCUCAGUAUAUAAAUUGUUUUCAAAAUAAAUUAUGUAUUGUAUGAACUUUCUCCAUGAUGAAAUAGUCAAGGACUAGAAUCUGUAAUAUUUUAAUGUAAGAUUACUUGUUAAGACUACUACAAGUGGACAUGAACUACCUUUCUAUAAAGAUUUUUAGUAUUUAUACUUAUGUAUGAAAUUUACUUUUACAGAGUGUGGUUAUAACUCAGAACAUCUACUUUCAAUAGGGUUUAUUUUUCUAUCUUGAAUUGCCUUACUUGUAUUCAAAGGCUCUGGAAAUCAUUAGGAAAAGUACAAAUAUGCUAUUUCAUGUAUCUUAAACUCGGGUAGACCCUUAAUACAUACUUAAUUUCUUUUCCUUUUUUAAAAAUUCAUUCCUUUGUCUAGGUCCAUGGAAUUCAUUUUAUAGCCAUUAGUUCUAAGGGAAAAAAAAAAAAGACCAAGCUUCUGGCCAGUCACUCUUCCUCUGUCAUGACUCCAGGUCCUGUAGAUAGGGUACCUUUCUGAGUCGGGCAACAAUCAGAAGCUUGUGGGUUUCCAU
rnacentral:lncRNA from 1 species